GGGUGAUUAGCUCAGCGGUAGAGCACUGCCUUCACACGGCAGGGGUCACAUGUUCGAUCCAUGUAUCACCCACAA
rnacentral:tRNA from 1 species